rnacentral:lncRNA from 1 species
UGCAACGUGAUACAUUUUUUUCCCAUUAAAAAUAUUUUGCAUUUGACAAAUUUCAGUAGAAAAAUUCCAAACCAAUGCAUGUACAAAGCUGAGUACAUAGAGGAAUGAGGCCAUCUUUAAUGAGGAUGGUAAUUUAAUGGGGCAAUCUUGCUUUUCCUCUCUUGACCCAUUCCUUACAUACUCUCAGUCUUUGCACUGCUGAAGAAGUCAGCUACCGCAGAAGCACUACAACUGCCAGUCUUUCAUGAAGCAGUAACUAUUCAGGGGGGCUUCAGCCUUUGAGGCAUCAAAAGAAUCUUAUUAAUGUCCCUUUGCUGCUGGAAAUUCAACUAUCUUGCAUUAAUGAAUUAAAAAAAAAUAAAUAAAAAAUAAGAGUUAACCACAACACCCAGUCCAGUCAUCAUUCUUCAUCUACUGCACCUGAUAGAGUGAGGAAAUCCCAGCUGAUGCAAUGCAGCCAUUGAUAAAUAGGGGUUGAGAAGAAUAUCAGUGCUGUAUCUCUUGCAGACUUGCUAUUGAACUUUAGGCCUAAUCAUCAUUCCCAGGCUCUCAUCAGGCUGUUUUAAUUAACUUGCCAUCAGUGACUUCUGUAGAAGCAGAUAAAAUAUUAUAGGUACAAUGUUAUGGCCAGGUGCAAUAUUAAAGCCAAUAGUAUUUGGAAAAUGAAGGAAAAGGGGACUUUGCUGAGAACAGUGCUCAUCUCUAGAACCAUCCUUCUUCAGUGCCUGAAAGACAGAUAGCCCUCCCAGUCAAGAUGCAGUUCCCAGGACAGAAGUGCCUUUACAAGAGAGGUGAAAGAAUGGUGCCUCUAAUUCAUGGCAGCUCAGCAGCUGUUCCUGAGCAGCUGUGGUACCUCUACUGUGGAGGCAAGAACCUAGGAGAGAAGGGCAGGGCACAUUUCCUGACUGAGUCAAAGGCACAAGGUGCUGGCCAACACUGAGAUGCCAAACUAGAGGCUGGUGCACCCACCAGAUCUGAUGCCUCUAGGAGAUUGUGCAGGUCCAAGCAGCAGCUCAAAGUGCUAUGAAGUAAAAUGUAAGAUUAAAAAUGCAUUCAGGAUGGUAAGUCAGUAAGAGCAUUUGAAAUUGUGUGUUUUAUUAAUGUUGGGUUGGGUUUCUUUGAGGAAUUCUGGCUCAAGAAGAAAAAUGUAGUCCUGGAGACUGCACCUUUAAGUGCU